rnacentral:rRNA from 1 species
AGGAGAGUUUGAUCCUGGCUCAGGACGAACGCUGGCGGCACGCUUAACACAUGCAAGUCGAACGGAGAUAUUUUGAGUUUACUUAGGAUAUCUUAGUGGCGGACGGGUGAGUAACACGUGAGCAACCUACCUUAGAGAGAGGGAUAGCUUCUGGAAACGGAUGGUAAUACCUCAUAACAUAGUUGGAAGGCAUCUUUUGACUAUCAAAGAUUUAUCACUCUGAGAUGGGCUCGCGUCUGAUUAGAUAGUUGGUGAGGUAACGGCUCACCAAGUCGACGAUCAGUAGCCGGACUGAGAGGUUGAACGGCCACAUUGGGACUGAGACACGGCCCAGACUCCUACGGGAGGCAGCAGUGGGGAAUAUUGCACAAUGGGGGAAACCCUGAUGCAGCGAUGCCGCGUGGAGGAAGAAGGUUUUCGGAUUGUAAACUCCUGUCUUAAAGGACGAUAAUGACGGUACUUUAGGAGGAAGCUCCGGCUAACUACGUGCCAGCAGCCGCGGUAAUACGUAGGGAGCGAGCGUUGUCCGGAAUUACUGGGUGUAAAGGGAGCGUAGGCGGGAUUGCAAGUCAGAUGUGAAAUGCAGGGGCUCAACCCCUGAGCUGCAUUUGAAACUGUAGUUCUUGAGUGAAGUAGAGGUAAGCGGAAUUCCUGGUGUAGCGGUGAAAUGCGUAGAUAUCAGGAGGAACACCGGUGGCGAAGGCGGCUUACUGGGCUUUUACUGACGCUGAGGCUCGAAAGCGUGGGGAGCAAACAGGAUUAGAUACCCUGGUAGUCCCCU